rnacentral:rRNA from 1 species
UACGGAGGGUGCGAGCGUUAAUCGGAAUUACUGGGCGUAAAGCGCGCGUAGGCGGCUUGAUUAGUCGGAUGUGAAAGCCCCGGGCUUAACCUGGGAAUUGCAUUCGAUACUGUCUGGCUAGAGUAUGGGAGAGGGAAGUGGAAUUUCCGGUGUAGCGGUGAAAUGCGUAGAUAUCGGAAGGAACACCAGUUGCGAAGGCGGCUUCCUGGCCCAAUACUGACGCUGAGGUGCGAAAGCGUGGGGAGCGAACAGG